UACGUAGGGGGCAAGCGUUGUCCGGAAUUAUUGGGCGUAAAGCGCGCGUAGGCGGCCCUUUAAGUCUCGUGUUUAAACCCGGAGCUCAACUUCGGGUCGCACGGGAAACUGGGGGGCUUGAGUGCAGGAGAGGGAAGCGGAAUUCCACGUGUAGCGGUGAAAUGCGUAGAGAUGUGGAGGAACACCAGUGGCGAAGGCGGCUUCCUGGUCUGUAACUGACGCUGAGGCGCGAAAGCGUGGGGAGCAAACA
rnacentral:rRNA from 2 species